AAAUCGACCUAAGAGCUCGCAUCAACAAAGAGGUUUGACACUUCAAUGUCAAUUCUUUACACUUGGGGGCUAUAGUAAGUUUCAAGGAUUGAGUUGUUCACUUAUCAAAACGGUACGUGAUCUAGAUCGAGAACUUUGAGUCUUC
rnacentral:rRNA from 1 species